UUCGCCCUUCGGUUGAUCCUGCCGGAGGUUACUGCUAUCGGUGUUCGACUAAGCCAUGCGAGUCAAAUGUUCUUCGUGAACAUGGCGGACUGCUCAGUAACACGUGGAUAACCUGCCCUUAGGUUCGGCAUAACUCCGGGAAACUGGAGAUAAUUCCGAAUAGGUCAAAUAUGCUGGAAUGCUUUUUGGCCAAAAGACUUCGGUUGCCUAAGGAUGGAUCUGCGGUCUAUCAGGUUGUAGUGGGUGUAACGUACCUACUGGCCUACGACGGAUAUGGGUUGUGAGAGCAAGAGCCCAGAGAUGGAUUCUGAGACAUGAAUCCAGGCCCUACGGGGCGCAGCAGGCGCGAAAACUUUACAAUGCGGGAAACCGCGAUAAGGGGACACCGAGUGCCAGCAUUUAUGUUGGCUGUCCACAUGUGUAAACGGCAUGUGUUAGCAAGGGCCGGGCAAGACCGGUGCCAGCCGCCGCGGUAACACCGGCGGCCCGAGUGGUAAUCACUUUUAUUGGGUCUAAAGGGUCCGUAGCCGGUUUGAUCAGUUCUUCGGGAAAUCUGACAGCUCAACUGUUAGGCUUCCGGGGAAUACUGUCAGACUUGGGACCGGGAGAGGUAAGAGGUACUACAGGGGUAGGAGUGAAAUCUUGUAAUCCCUGUGGGACCACCAGUGGCGAAGGCGUCUUACCAGAACGGGUCCGACGGUGAGGGACGAAAGCUGGGGGCACGAACCGGAUUAGAUACCCGGGUAGUCCCAGCCGUAAACGAUGUUCGCUAGGUGUCAGGGGC
rnacentral:rRNA from 1 species